rnacentral:rRNA from 1 species
CAGCAGCCGCGGGAAUACGAAGGGGGCUAGCGUUGCUCGGAAUUACUGGGCGUAAAGGGAGCGUAGGCGGAUCGUUAAGUUGGGGGUGAAAGCCCGGGGCUCAACCUGGGAAUGGCAAUGGAAACUGGACGGCUAGAGUGUGUCAGAGGAUGGUGGAAUUCCCGGUGUAGCGGUGAAAUGCGUAGAGAUCGGGAGGAACAUCAGUGGCGAAGGCGGCCAUCUGGGACAAUACUGACGCUCAUGCACGAAAGCGUGGGGAGCAAACAGGAUUAGAUACCCCGGUAGUCCCUGUCUCUUAUAC